rnacentral:rRNA from 1 species
GUCCCUACGGGACGCAGCAGUGGGGAAUAUUGCACAAUGGGCGAAAGCCUGAUGCAGCAACGCCGCGUGAGCGAUGAAGGCCUUCGGGUCGUAAAGCUCUGUCCUCAAGGAAGAUAAUGACGGUACUUGAGGAGGAAGCCCCGGCUAACUGCGUGCCAGCAGCCGCGGUAAUACGUAGGGGGCUAGCGUUAUCCGGAAUUACUGGGCGUAAAGGGCGCGUAGGUGGCUUCUUAAGUCAGAGGUGAAAGGCUACGGCUCAACCGUAGUAAGCCUUUGAAACUGGGGAACUUGAGUGUAGGAGAGGG